rnacentral:rRNA from 1 species
UACGUAGGGUCCGAGCGUUGUCCGGAAUUACUGGGCGUAAAGAGCUCGUAGGUGGUUUGUCGCGUUGUUCGUGAAACUCACAGCUCAACUGUGGGCGUGCGGCGAUACGGGCAGACUAGAGUACUGCAGGGAGACUGGAAGUUCCUGGUGAUAGCGGUGGAAUGCGCAGAUAUCAGGAGGAACACCGGUGGCGAAGGCGGGUCUCUGGGACGGUACUGACGCUGGAGACGCGAAAGCGUGGGAGCGAACAGG